UAUUUGUUUCGAUGCGAACUGGCAUCGAGUAGAUUUUCGUUUACAAUUUAGGUACACGCGAAAUAGAUUGAGUGUUUAUUGCGUUUUGUAAAUUCUUUCCAGAGCAUCGCGGCUCUUUCAAAUUUUCUAUCGCGAGGUAGAGUCACGGUUGUUCGCCGACUAUAAUCUUCGGUCGCGUUAGUAGCUUUCUAAUUUUUUGUUUUAUUUAUUCAACUAAAAUUGCUCGAUACCGGUGUUAGAGUCGGUGCAUCAUUGAAGAGGAGUUUUAAGCGAUGCUUAACAAAUAGGAAAUGGUUCGUGAGUCUAGCAGAGCUACUACGAUGUCUUCGGAGUUGCUGGGCUACUACGAUGUCUAUCACAUAGCAACGAAUCUUCAAGUUCGAUGACAACUAUACUGGAUCAAAGAUGCGAGUGCAACAUACCUGUUUGCCGUUGAAAAUGAAAUUGACAAAUUUGGCAAUACACAUCCAGCUUAUGAUGAAAGGAGCAAAACCCUCCAUGAACACGUCGAUGUCG